rnacentral:rRNA from 1 species
AUGAUAGAAGCUCUAAAGGAAGACGAGAUCACCGUCCUAAUCGUGACCUUGUGGGCGAUUUGGUCUGCUCGCCGCAAGUUGAUUCAUGAAGGCAUCUUCCAAUCUCCCCAUGCUACUAACGGUUUCAUUUCCAGCUAUCUAUUUGACAUUGAGUUUUUAAAGAAGCCGGCAGUGGCAGUACGUUCGGGAACGGAGCCAAGGCCGACGACAUGGAUCCCUCCUCCGGAUCAUCAUCUAAAAGUGAACGUUGACGCGGCGGUAGCAAGGCACGGUGGUCUUGGAGCAGUAGCAGCGGUGUGCCGCGAUGGGACUGGCAUAUUUCAGGGAGCGUCGGCCCUGAUUUUCAACAACAUUGAUGACCCUGAGGUGUUGGAGUCGCUGGCUAUACGUGAAGCUCUGGCUCUUUCAGAAGAUCUGUACAUUCAGAAAAUUUCGGUGGCUUCCGAUUGCAAGAAAGUGGUAGAGUCAAUCAAGACUGGCACGUCAGCUUCAUAUGGCGCAAUUGUGCGUGAAAUAAGGGACCGAUCUAGGUUUUUUUCUUCCUGUUUAAUUAGUCAUGAGUUUAGAACCUCCAAUGUCGAGGCUCACAAACUUGCAAAGCAUGCUUUAACGCUGGGUACUGGCCGCCAUGCUUGGUUAGGCCAUCCCGAAGAUCUUGUUUUC